GAUGCGGAACGUUGAACCCACACA
rnacentral:siRNA from 1 species